ACUCUGGUAUUGAUCUCAAUCCACAUGUGUUGAGGUGGAUUGGAUGUAACUUAGUUUCAAGUUACACCCCCAAUCCACCUCAAUACAUGUGGAUUGUGGUCAAUACUAGA
rnacentral:pre_miRNA from 1 species